rnacentral:rRNA from 1 species
GUGGGGAAUAUUGGACAAUGGGCGAAAGCCUGAUCCAGCCAUGCCGCGUGUGUGAAGAAGGUCUUCGGAUUGUAAAGCACUUUAAGUUGGGAGGAAGGGCAGUAAGUUAAUACCUUGCUGUUUUGACGUUACCAACAGAAUAAGCACCGGCUAACUUCGUGCCAGCAGCCGCGGUAAUACGAAGGGUGCAAGCGUUAAUCGGAAUUACUGGGCGUAAAGCGCGCGUAGGUGGUUCAGCAAGUUGAAGGUGAAAUCCCAGGGCUCAACCUGGGAACUGCAUCCAAAACUACUGAGCUAGAGUACGGUAGAGGGUAGUGGAAUUUCCUGGGUAGCGGUGAAAUGCGUAGAUAUAGGAAGGAACACCAGUGGCGAAGGCGAAUACCUGGACUGAUACUGACACUGAGGUGCGAAAGCGUGGGGAGCAAACAGGAUUAGAAACCCCUGUAGUCC